GUGCUUGUUUUGGCAGCACAUAUAUAAAAUUAGAAUGAUACAGAGAAGAUUAGCAUGGUCCCUGCACAAGGAUGACAUGCAAAUUCAUGAAGCAUUCCAUAUUUUU